CCUAGCUCUAUUACUUGUUCGUUUAUCGCUCGAUGAGAUAAUACCGAUCGUCCUCACGAUCUACAGGCGUGAGCGCAAGAGUAGGGCCCCGAUCUACAAUACUAACCCUAACUGCACAGCAACCAGCCCGUAGCUACACUCUGACUAUGCAGCAGAGGACCGACGACACGACGCGCAACACUAGGAGGCACGGCAACAACUACAGCAGGUGAGUAGGACAGGCACACGGCUGUGUUCGGGCGACGAAAUCAACUUAACCAAAUCAAUCUUUAAAUUAACUAAUCUGGAGUGACUACAUCCUUCAGGACAGAUGCUAAAUUGCUCGUUGCUACUUGCUUUCUUCUUUUUUCAAUCAUAGAAAUACUAAUCAAGGUGCGUCGUCUUUGUCAAAUCAAUCUGGGCAUGAUUGCGUCUCGCCUCCAGGCUACUCGACACUCCUUUAGUCCAUCUUGCCUCGUCCCGGAACAAUUCAGCCAGGCAAGUUUCAGGUCCAUG
rnacentral:lncRNA from 1 species